AUGGUCUGGGGAGAAGGCUCCUGUGUUGCUGGACCUGCCCGGCGUGGGUGCAGCCUUGUGCCAGGCAGCCCGACCCUGACCUACAGUAAGUGCCCCGGGGCCGAGUUGUCCCGGGGCCGCGAACUUGCAGUAACAGGUGUGAACAUUCUAGCAGCAGUUUGAUGAUCAUGUAUGAUACUGCAAACACAA
rfam:Erinaceus europaeus unplaced genomic scaffold scaffold00596, whole genome shotgun sequence